GACGAACGCUGGCGGCGUGCCUAAUACAUGCAAGUAGAACGCUGAAGGAGGAGCUUGCUUCUCCGGAUGAGUUGCGAACGGGUGAGUAACGCGUAGGUAACCUGCCUGGUAGCGGGGGAUAACUAUUGGAAACGAUAGCUAAUACCGCAUAACAGUAGAUAUUGCAUGAUAUCUGCUUGAAAGGUGCAAUUGCAUCACUACCAGAUGGACCUGCGUUGUAUUAGCUAGUUGGUGGGGUAACGGCUCACCAAGGCGACGAUACAUAGCCGACCUGAGAGGGUGAUCGGCCACACUGGGACUGAGACACGGCCCAGACUCCUACGGGAGGCAGCAGUAGGGAAUCUUCGGCAAUGGACGGAAGUCUGACCGAGCAACGCCGCGUGAGUGAAGAAGGGUGUCGGAUCGUAAAGCUCUGUUGUAAGAGAAGAACGAGUGUGAGAGUGGAAAGUUCACACUGUGACGGUAUCUUACCAGAAAGGGACGGCUAACUACGUG
rnacentral:rRNA from 1 species